rnacentral:rRNA from 1 species
AGUGAACGCUGGCGGUAGGCCUAACACAUGCAAGUCGAACGGCAGCACCGUACGAGCUUGCUCUUACGGGUGGCGAGUGGCGGAAGGGUGAGGAAUAUAUCGGAAUCUACUUUUUCGUGGGGGAUCACGUAGGGAAAGUUACGCUAAUACAGCAUACGACCUACGGGUGAAGGCAGGGGAUCUUCGGACCUUGCGCGGUUGGAUGCGCCGAUGUCGGAUUAGCUAGUUGGCGGGGUAAAGGCCAACCAAGGCGGCGAUCCGUAGCUGGUCUGAGAGGAUGGUCAGCCACACUGGAACUGAGACACGGUCCCGACUCCUGCGGGAGGCAGCAGUGGGGAAUAUUGGACAAUGGGCGCAAGCCUGAUCCAGCCAUACCGCGUGGGUGAAGAAGGCCUUCGGGUUGUAAAGCCCUUUUGUUGGGAAAGAAAAGCAGCAGGUUAAUACCCCGCUGUUCUGACGGUACCCAAAGAAUAAGCACCGGCUAACUUCGUG